GACGAACGCUGGCGGCGUGCCUAAUACAUGCAAGUUGAGCGCUGAAGGUUGGUACUUGUACCAACUGGAUGAGCAGCGAACGGGUGAGUAACGCGUGGGGAAUCUGCCUUUGAGCGGGGGACAACAUUUGGAAACGAAUGCUAAUACCGCAUAAAAACUUUAAACACAAGUUUUAAGUUUGAAAGAUGCAAUUGCAUCACUCAAAGAUGAUCCCGCGUUGUAUUAGCUAGUUGGUGAGGUAAAGGCUCACCAAGGCGAUGAUACGUAGCCGACCUGAGAGGGUGAUCGGCCACAUUGGGACUGAGACACGGCCCAAACUCCUACGGGAGGCAGCAGUAGGGAAUCUUCGGCAAUGGACGAAAGUCUGACCGAGCAACGCCGCGUGAGUGAAGAAGGUUUUCGGAUCGUAAAACUCUGUUGGUAGAGAAGAACGUUGGUGAGAGUGGAAAGCUCAUCAAGUGACGGUAACUACCCAGAAAGGGACGGCCAACUACGUG
rnacentral:rRNA from 1 species